rnacentral:rRNA from 1 species
UGGGGAAUUUUGGACAAUGGGCGAAAGCCUGAUCCAGCAAUGCCGCGUGUGUGAAGAAGGCCUUCGGGUUGUAAAGCACUUUUGUCCGGAAAGAAAUCCUUGGCUCUAAUACAGUCGGGGGAUGACGGUACCGGAAGAAUAAGCACCGGCUAACUACGUGCCAGCAGCCGCGGUAAUACGUAGGGUGCAAGCGUUAAUCGGAAUUACUGGGCGUAAAGCGUGCGCAGGCGGUUUGCUAAGACCGAUGUGAAAUCCCCGGGCUCAACCUGGGAACUGCAUUGGUGACUGGCAGGCUAGAGUAUGGCAGAGGGGGGUAGAAUUCCACGUGUAGCAGUGAAAUGCGUAGAGAUGUGGAGGAAUACCGAUGGCGAAGGCAGCCCCCUGGGCCAAUACUGACGCUCAUGCACGAAAGCGUGGGGGAGCAAACAGGAUUAGAUACCCUGGUAGUCCACGCCCUAAAACGAUGUCAACUAGUUGUUGGGGAUUCAUUUCCUUAGUAACGUAGCUAACGCGUGAAGUUGACCGCCUGGGGAGUACGGUCGCAAGAUUAAAACUCAAAUGAAUUGACGGGGUCAUA